GACGAACGCUGGCGGCGUGCUUAACACAUGCAAGUCGAACGGAACGGCCCUGCUUUGUUGGGGUGCUCUACUUGCCAACGGGUGAGUAACACGUGAGUACCCUACCCUUGACUUUGGGGUAACUUCAGGACACUGAGUCUAAUCCCGCAUAGGAUCUCCUGCUUCAUGGUGGGGGUUGGUAAGUUUCGGUGGUUGGUGAUGGACUCGCGGCUUAUCAGCUUGUUGGUGGGGUAGUGGCUUACCAAGGCAUGGACGGGUAGCCGGGCUGAGAGGGGGACCGGCCAAACUGGGACUGAGAUAAGGCCCAGACUCCUACGGGAGGGAGGGGUGGGGUAGAGUGUACAAGGGGCGGAAGGCUGGUGCAGUAACGCCGCGUGCGGGGAGACGGCCUGCGCGUAGUAAACCAAAGCUGCCUGUGACGAGGUGUGAGUGACGGUAAUGGGUAAAUAAGCACCGGCUAACUACGUG
rnacentral:rRNA from 1 species